CAAUAGCGUAUAUUAAAGUUGUUGCGGUAAAAAAGCUCGUAGUUGGAUUUCUACCGAAGAUAGCCGGUCGGGUCUUCGACCUUGUAUCUGGUUUUGUCUUUGGUAUCCUCAUAGGGAACGUUUCUGCGCUUUAUUGCGUGGUGCGGUAUCUAUGACUUUUACUUUGAGGAAAUUAGAGUGUUCACGGCAGGCAAACGCCUUGAAUAUAUUAGCAUGGAAUAAUAACAUAGGAUCUUCGUCCUAUUUUGUUGGUUUCUAGGGCUAAGAUAAUGAUUAAUAGGGAUAAUUGGGGGCAUCUGUAUCAACGCGUCAGAGGGGGAAUUCUUGGAUUGCGUUGCGACAAACUACUGCGAAAGCAUUUGCCAAGGAUGUUUUCAUUGA
rnacentral:rRNA from 1 species